AGAGUUUGAUCAUGGCUCAGAUUGAACGCUGGCGGCAUGCCUUACACAUGCAAGUCGAACGGCAGCGCGGGGCAACCUGGCGGCGAGUGGCGAACGGGUGAGUAAUAUAUCGGAACGUGCCCAGUAGUGGGGGAUAGCCCGGCGAAAGCCGGAUUAAUACCGCAUGAGACCUGAGGGUGAAAGCGGGGGAUCGCAAGACCUCGCGCUAUUGGAGCGGCCGAUAUCAGAUUAGCUAGUUGGUGGGGUAAAGGCCUACCAAGGCAACGAUCUGUAGUUGGUCUGAGAGGACGACCAGCCACACUGGGACUGAGACACGGCCCAGACUCCUACGGGAGGCAGCAGUGGGGAAUUUUGGACAAUGGGCGCAAGCCUGAUCCAGCAAUGCCGCGUGCAGGAAGAAGGCCUUCGGGUUGUAAACUGCUUUUGUCAGGGAAGAAAUCCUCUGGGUUAACACCUCGGGGGGAUGACGGUACCUGAAGAAUAAGCACCGGCUAACUACGUG
rnacentral:rRNA from 1 species